CAGGCAAGUCAUCCUUGGCU
rnacentral:miRNA from 1 species